AGUGAACGCUGGCGGUAGGCCUAACACAUGCAAGUCGAACGGCAGCACAGUAAGAGCUUGCUCUUACGGGUGGCGAGUGGCGGACGGGAGAGGAAUACAUCGGAAUCUACUUUUUCGUGGGGGAUAACGUAGGGAAACUUACGCUAAUACCGCAUACGACCUACGGGUGAAAGCAGGGGAUCUUCGGACCUUGCGCGAUUGAAUGAGCCGAUGUCGGAUUAGCUAGUUGGCGGGGUAAAGGCCCACCAAGGCGACGAUCCGUAGCUGGUCUGAGAGGAUGAUCAGCCACACUGGAACUGAGACACGGUCCAGACUCCCACGGGAGGCAGCAGUGGGGAAUAUUGGACAAUGGGCGCAAGCCUGAUCCAGCCAUACCGCGUGGGUGAAGAAGGCCUUCGGGUUGUAAAGCCCUUUUGUUGGGAAAGAAAAGCAGCAGGUUAAUACCCCGCUGUUCUGACGGUACCCAAAGAAUAAGCACCGGCUAACUUCGUG
rnacentral:rRNA from 1 species